rnacentral:rRNA from 1 species
AUUGAACGCUGGCGGCAGGCUUAACACAUGCAAGUCGAGCGAGCGGCGGACGGGUGAGUAAUGUCUGGGAAACUGCCUGAUGGAGGGGGAUAACUACUGGAAACGGUAUCUAAUACCGCAUACCAUCAGAUGCGCCCAGAGGGGAUUAGCUAGUGGGGGGGGUAAUGGCUCACCUAGGCGACGCUCCCGAGCUGGUCUGAGAGGAUGACCAGCCACACUGGGACUGAGACACGGUCCAGACUCCUACGGGAGGCAGCAGGGGGGAAUAUUGCGCAAGGGGCGCAAGCCUGAUGCAGACAUGCCGCGUGUGUGAAGAAGGCCUUCGGGUUGUAAAGCACUUUCGGCGGGGAGGCGUUACUCACAGAAGAAGCACCGGCUAACUCCGUGCCAGCAGCCGCGGUAAUAC